CCAGCAUCAGUGAUGAAUACUCUAAAUUGUUAUCCUUGCACUUUGAUUGCCAGUGAAGAAUCUUAUGGGGAAUGAUCAUUCUGAGAUGCCA